UUGGAAAUCAUUUUUGAAGGUGACCCACGGUGAUUCUUGUGGGGAUUUGUUUGGGGAAGGAAGAAGAAGCAAACACCGCCGUCGAAAAUCAUUUCCGAUGGCGGUGGCUCACGGUGGUCCUUGCGUUUUGGCCAUAGACUCACGGGCACGAAAAAGAGGUGACAGAGUGAGCGAGAGGGAAAAGAAAAAAAGAAAAAAAAUGGAAGAACACACUAUGGUUGCUGGAAAUCAGCACGAACAACAAAUCGUUGAGGGCAUGGUGAUUUAUUUGCAGUGGUAAGGUAGCUCUGUGAGAAUUGUAGUAGAGUAGUUGAGGGGAGCAGUUGCUGGGGUUCACGGAGGAUAAUAGAAGAUACGAGCAACAUGUUUUUUCUUCUUAUUUUUCUAUUUUGUUUUGUUGUUUAUUUUUUUUAUUUUUUUUGUUUUUUGCUUUUAAUCUGUAUUAUAUUUUGUAAUAUUAUGGACUGGACUUUUUUGAUUUAUACAGGAAGACAAAAUUUGGAGUUAAUCGUCGCCUUUUUGGA